UACAGAGGAGCCAAGCGUUGUCCGGAUUGACUGGGCGUAAAGCGCACGCAGGCGGUUGGUUAAGGCUGAUGUGAAAGCCCCGAGCUCAACUUGGGAAUGGCAUUGGAAACUGGCUGGCUAGAGUGUGGCAGAGGGGGGUGGAAUUCCGCGUGUAGCAGUGAAAUGCGUAGAGAUGCGGAGGAACACCGAUGGCGAAGGCAGCCCCCUGGGCUGACACUGACGCUCAGGCACGAAAGCGUGGGGAGCAAACAGG
rnacentral:rRNA from 1 species